GCUGGUGUAGCUCAGUUGGCUAGAGCAGCUGAUUUGUAAUCAGCAGGUCGGGGGUUCAAAUCCCUUCACCAGCUCCA
rnacentral:tRNA from 8 species